rnacentral:rRNA from 1 species
AUUGAACGCUGGCGGCAGGCCUAACACAUGCAAGUCGAGCGAGUGGCGGACGGGUGAGUAAUGUCUGGGAAACUGCCCGAUGGAGGGGGAUAACUACUGGAAACGGUGGCUAAUACCGCAUACUAUCGGAUGUACCCACAUGGGAUUAGCUAGUAGGUGGGGUAAUGGCUCACCUAGGCGACGAUCCCUAGCUGGUCGGAGAGGAUGACCAGCCACACUGGAACGGAGACACGGCCCAGACUCCUACGAGAGGCAGCAGUGGAGAAUAUUGCACAAUGGGCGCAAGCCUGAUGCUGCCAUGCCGCGUGUAUGAAGAAGGCCUUAGGGUUGUAAAGUACUUUCAGCGGGGAGGCGUUACCCGCAGAAGAAGCACCGGCUAACUCCGUGCCAGCAGCCGCGGUAAUAC